rnacentral:rRNA from 1 species
UACGUAGGGUGCAAGCGUUAAUCGGAAUUACUGGGCGUAAAGCGUGCGCAGGCGGUUUUGUAAGUCUGGUGUGAAAGCCCCGGGCUUAACCUGGGAAUUGCGAUGGAGACUGCAAGGCUUGAAUCUGGCAGAGGGGGGUAGAAUUCCACGUGUAGCAGUGAAAUGCGUAGAGAUGUGGAGGAACACCGAUGGCGAAGGCAGCCCCCUGGGUCAAGAUUGACGCUCAUGCACGAAAGCGUGGGGAGCAAACAGG